AUCACGGAUUCAAAGCUUCCCGACGUGCAGGCUGGAUACGAGAAGGCCUUUGGGCUGUCCCUGACUGCGCUUGCAGGUUCAAAUUACAUCCAUCACGCUG
rfam:Deltaproteobacteria bacterium RBG_16_49_23 RBG_16_scaffold_910, whole genome shotgun sequence.